ensembl:lncRNA
AUGGUAAUUCCCAGAAUCACCUUUGCUCUGUCCCUACAGGAAAGAGCGAUGGACCAUGAGAAAUCCCAGCUCAGAGUAUGGAGCUCAGGAGUAAGAGAAUGUAUGAAAGAACAGAUGAACAGAUUUGAGAGAUUGGUGAAUGUUGAUGGUCUCUUUAAGUACUCUGAUGACUUUAAGGAUGAUUCAGCAGAAGGAAACAGCGUAGGAAGAGUAUACUCUGAGAAGGAGGAGGCAUUGCCAGCCAUUCCCUAUCACUUGCUAAAAAUCUCUGUGAAUCACAGAAGCAUCUUUGGCAAAGUAAAAUUAAGUGAGUUGGCACCAUUGACAUUUUAUAUCAUACACUUCCUGGACUACUGGCUCAUAAAGCACCAUGUCCAACUCUGAAGUCUGCUUCACAACACUUGAAAGGUGAACUGGUCAACACCCCUCUGCAGUUUUAACACCCUGUCCACUACUUAACCAGACUGUUAUCUUCCCCUGACUUGACUGACAAACCUCAGUGCUUUCCAGCUGGAUUUUUCCACUGAUCUUGCUUUGAGCAGCCUACAGUUAUGCAGUAUCCCUCAGCUAAGAAUCAGGUAAAAUAAAACCUUUUAAAAAUCUUUUCUAAAUUAUUUUUAGAAAUAAAUUUUCAGUUAUGAUAUAUUACUUUGAACAGCAAUUAUAGUAAAAUAUCUUUGUUCGUGAUUUGAUUAGAUAUUUAACCAUCAAGCUUGAUAAAACUGAUAUUUUAGGUAGAAGGGAAGUCUCAUCAUAAAAUAAUGACAAUGCUUGCAUUACUUGACAAUGUUUGGGUGCUAUUUGCAAACUUCUUCUAAAUUGGAAUUUUAAAGUUGCUUUAAAAAAAUUGUAAGAAUGUCAGAUUUUUUACAGAAAACCCAAAAUGAAUACUUAAAAAACAAAUAUGGAGAAGUACUAUAUUGUGUUUUAAAAAACAGCCCUAUCAUAGAAAACUACACCCCAUUGCAAUGAGCACACCCAACUCCCAGAUCUUGGUUUCUAAUACCAUUCUCUACUAAAAGAAAACAGAGCUCUUUGGAGAAAUGGCUGAUUCCAGGAACCAGGCAUGAAAAAUUCCAGAAGAGCCUGCUGAAUGCCAGAAAGUAAGGAAAUGGUGAAAAACUAAAUAACAGCAACAACAGUAACAGCCAACCACCAACUAACCAAACCAAUGAAAUUCCAAAAGGGUUCCCAAUGGCCAAAGGUGGAACAGUUUGAGUAACAAAAUGAAGUAGUGUCAGAAUGUAACUAAAAUAUAUAUUCACGUGUCCAUACUGAUACAUAUAGAUGACUGAAUAAUUUGGGAGAGAACAGACAUGUUUCCCUUGGAGACUAAUUCCAAAUAAUUUAUGUAGCUACUCUACAUUCAAGGAAGUGGAAUGAAACUCCUCUUUCAUUAAAGUAUUUGCCUCACAUAGUGAUUUUCUUCCAAGGAGACAGUAUGAAAUGGGAGAGAAAAGAGUGAUUUUACAAUGGAGAAACCUACAAAACACUAUUAUUCUGCUUUUUAUUGUUUUUACCCAAUGCCCCUUUUCUGUUCUAGUAUCCCAUCUAGUAUAUUGCACUGCAUUUAUUUUUCUUACUCCUAAGGCUUUUCUUGGCUAUGACAAUUUUUCAGAAUUUUCUUGUUUAUUGAUGACCUUGACAGGUAUGAAGUGUACUGGUCAGGUAUCUUGUAGCAUGCUCUUCUAUUGGAACUUCCUUGUUGUUUUUCUCAUAAUUACAUGGGGAUUAUGGGUUUUUGAGAGGAAGACGUAAAAUGCCAUUUUCGUCAUGUUAUAUCAAGGGGCUACGUAUCCUUGAAUACAGGUAGCAGUAUAACUUACCAAUAUUGAUGUUGAGCUUGAUCACCAGGCUCAGGCAGUGUUUUUCAGGUUUAUUCACUGUAAAGUUCCUCUCGUCUCCCCUUUACAUACUCUUUGGAGGGAAGCUACUAUGUGCAGCCCGCACUUAAGGAAAACUGAAUGUUGGUCAGAUGGAAGUUCUCUGCUUUAUCUUCAUAAUUGUUCUAUAAAUACAAAACUGUUCUAAAAUAAAAGGUUUAAUUAAAAAAAGAGUCAGCCCUACCACUUCACAUAAUCAUCACUAUAUAUUGCAGAGGCUGAUGAGAAAAGAAAUUCAACACAAUGGCUUCUACAGAGGAAAUACUACUUAUUCCGUCUGUUCAAAAGCCCCGAAAACUUGCCACUGCAAAGUAAAUCAGUUAAAACCUUUGGUCACACUGGAUUUCCUUCCACGUUACAUUAGCCCCAGGAAGACAAAUCCUAAGCAUAAGAAUGGCAAAUGAAGACUUGCACUAUAAAAAUGCUAAUAGUGUUGUGAAAAUCAGAAAAAAGAUAGUGUUUUUGAUCUUACACAGGUCACCGGUCCCUAUACAAAGCAUUAACUGAUCUACUGUUGGCUCCUCACACCAUCUAAACUAUUUAGCAUGAUUCCUAUUUUAGAUUUCUUGUGUUUGAUAGAGCUCCGUGGGUAGAGAUAGGCCAGUGUUCACUACUCUUGCCCAAAAUAGCUAAGCUGAACUGCUUUUUCCUUUGAAGGUAUAUACUUAACUAGGUGUAACAUCAGCACAUACAGAAAAUUCUUAAUUCUGAAAAGUGUUUAAAAUCUAUGCUCUUUCAUCCAGAAUUUAUACUUUUGAAAAAGCAUAUGUAAAAUAUGCCCUUCUCAUAGCAAUUUUUGUCUGGCUAAAAUAAUCUCACAUGAAGUCCUUUUCUAGUCAAAUUUUCAAUUCACACAGAUUUGCCUCUUUUUUCCUUUAAGGAUGAUCAAAUAUCCAAAAUCAUCAUUUUGCACGUUAAUGAUUAUGUUCCCAGGGAUGUGAACGAACAAAUACUGUAAAAGCAACAUUGGUGUAACUGAAAUAUGUUGAAAAACAUUAAGUUUACUCUGCCCCCAGGGCUCCUCUGUGAGGAUACCUUGUAGUUUGUAAUUAGUGGUAGACAAGUGACAGCUGCCUACUUACUAUAUUCCUGAGUUGUGUGUAUAUGUAAAACACCUGUGUAGUAAAGCGAAUCACCUUCAAAGAGCAAAUAAAUAUGUGGAUGAAUCUCUGCUUGGGGUCUUCAGUGCUGGAGAGCUGGAAACCCCGCAGGCUCUCAGGCUGUUAGUCCCCAGAUUAUCUCCACUGAGUUGGCUGUCUGGGUGUUUGCCUCUCACUGGUCUUCAGCCCACUUGGAUGGGAAUCUCCCAGUCAAGCUGAAGCUCGGCAACUGGCACCCAGUGGGGAUUCCAGCCCAGGACGAAGAGUUGCCGAGCAACAGAGAAAGGAAACGCAAGGCUGAAGGUAUUCCGAGUACGUUGGAAAGUAUCCCCAGGGCAAACUGGGGAGCUCGGAAGGAAUCCCGCGAACGUUUUUAAGUAUCGCCCUGGUGAAUUAGUGGGAGCCCAGAAGACACGGGGGAGACUCCCAGGUGACUUAGAGAGUACCCAAGGUAAGGUCGAGAAUGUUAGAGGAAGAAUCUCCCAGGGAUAGCUGGGGGAGCUUGGGAUCAGCCCCAGGAUGUUAAGGCGAAGUAUCUCCCAGGGGGACAGCUGGGGGAGUUCGGCCAUAUUGGAGUAACUUGGGGAAAAAAGUAAACAUGGGCUUGUUUGGUGUAGUCUGUUUGGGCUUUGGUGUGUUUUGCCCUGGAGCUGUUUUAGACCCAGGAGGAGGGAAAGGACUCACGGCAAAAAUGAAGUAAACCCGGGGCUUAUUUGGUGUGGUCUGUUUGGGUUUGGUGUGUUUUGCCCUGGACCUGUUUCAGACUGACCGGGAGGAAGAUGAUUCAGAAGAUUCGGGAGAGGAGGAGGAGUGUGGUAAGUAUGUAAAGAAGUUAUAGAGCAAAAAGAUGAAAUAUCAAAUAAGGAAAAAAAUCUACAGUAACCAGUUGAGGAGCUCAUACUCCUAGGUCUAUGGUAACAUAUUCUAUCUAGGCCAGAAUUCAAGUAAGAAAAGAGGAAAAUUUGGAGGCAUGGUAAUUUCCAGUUGUGUAACCUCAAGAUUAGCCAGGGCAAGUACUAGUUGCUUUUGAACCCCUUCCAUUCAGAUUGUGGAGAGAGCUUAAGCAAGCCAUCACUGAUGAUGGGCCUGAGUCUCUGUUUGUUCUAUAAUUAUUCAUGAAAGGAGCUAUUUCUUGCCAGCUGAUUCCAGUAGAUCUGAUUUCGUGAGAUGGGUUGAGGGGCUGCCUCGGGCUCCAAUCCAAACCGAGGCCUAUCAAGGUCGAGCUAUUCCCUCAUCCCUAUACAAUGCUUGUUCCUUGCCACAGCUGGGAACGCAGCAGUAGAUUUGUGCAGCUCUCAAAGGGUAAGCAUUUUACUGGGAGAGCCACGGCAAAAAAAAUAUCUGCAGGAGUUUGUGACCGUUUACCCCUGGAACUGUGAGCUUGCUUCUAGGAAGAUCUAGUCUUGCUGCUCAAGUCGAGUUCAUACAGGAGUUAUUGAUGGGGACUUUUUAGGGGAAAUUGAAAUUGUAGUGUCUUCUUCCGUUUCCUGGUGUGUUGAGCCUGGGAACACAUAGCACAGCUUUUGGUUAUACCAUAUGAAAACAUAGGAGGAGGUGAAACUAGAAAAAUGAGAGGCUUUGGAGGUACAGACAGAUAAGACGAGCAGCAUAUUAGUAAAUCAAAUUACUGGUAAAUGUCCUACAUGUGAGAUUAUGACUCAAGGAAGGAAAUUUAAAGGACUGGUAGAUACUGGAGCAGAUGUUUCUAUGAUUUCAUUCCAACACGGGCCACUUUCUUGGCCCAUGGAAAAUGCUUAGUUCAGUAUUUCAAGUUCUGGGUUACAUGUGCAGAACAUGCAGUUUUGUUACAUAGGUUUAUACGUGCCGUGGUGGUUUGCUGUGCCCAUGAACCCAUCAUCUACAUUAGGCAUUUCUCCUAACACUAUCCCUCCCCAGCCCCUACCCCUUGGCAGGUCCCAGUGUGUGAUGUUCCCCUCCUGUGUCCAUGUGCUCUCAUUGUUCAGCUCCCACUUAUGAGUGAGAACAUGAGGUGUUUGGUUUUCUGUGCUUGUGUUAGUUUGCUGAGAUUGAUGAUUUCCAGCUUCAUCUAUGCCCCUGCAAAGGACAUAAACUCAGAUCUGAUGGUUUUUUAUAAAAAACCAUGCCUGCUGCUAUGUAAGAUGUGCUUUUGCUCCUCCUUAGCCUUCUGCCAUGAUUGUGAGGCCUCCUCAGCCGUGUGAAAGUAUGAGUACCCUAAACCUCUUUUUCUUUAUAAAUUAUUAUUGGGUAUGUCUUUAUUAGCAUCUUGAGAAUAGACUAAUACACAUGGAGAAGGUAAUUUUAAUUUUCAAUUUUAAAAAAAUUCUUAAAUUCUGUUUCUCAC